ensembl:lncRNA
CAAAUGUAGCUGUAACUGAUGAUUCCCACCACCAAAAUACUAUUCUUUACCAGGCUGGACUUUCCCAGCAUCCGUUGGAGGUACCAACAGCCCUGUCUGGUGAAAAAAGCUGCUGUUCACUCUCCCAGCACAGCCUGUCUCCUGGAGACUAUUGCAAAGGGCUUGAGGAUCAAGGGAGCGUUUCUUAUGGUGCUGAGGACAAAAUCAUCAGACAUAUGGAAGGAGAGGAGCAGACCACUGCUCAGCAGCUUAUUGAGGGAAUGUCUGCUCGGCUCUUGUUAGAGUCCAGGGAAGAGGAUGUUAUUGUGGCUGUUAGUGACAGCAGUGCCAUUUCCUCCACCUCUGAACCUGUCUCACUUCACCAAAACAUAGACAAAAGCCAGUUAGAUCCUUCCAUGAAUCUUCAAAAAGGCAGAGAGCAGCCCCAAGGGGGCACAUUAUCAUCAUUUCAGAAGGCCGCAGAUGUUUCAAAUAUAACUUUUCGUGAUUCACGGAUGCAUUCACACCAGACAACUGACCAUCUCCAUGAUCAGCUUCUGUCUGCAAGACAAAGAGGCUCCAUCUCGGCACCAGCAAGUAGGCACCAUAGUGGGAACAAAAGCUCUCAUAGUGGAAUGUGUGUCACACCAGCUGGUGAAGGUUUGAUGCAUGUACCAGAUCUGCAGAGAGUGCUCUGGAGCUCCGGUCAUCUAACAGCGGCAGAUGGUUCAUUCUUGAGCUCUCAACCUGUGUCUCAGUCCACACCUGCACUACCUCUCAUGAGACCCCCACCAGUAUUGACCAAACUCUCACUCAUAGACUCCACACAAGAGGCUGUUGCUUCUGCGGCUACAUCCUCCCAAAACAGUCUCUCCAAAACUGGCUUAAUUCCAUCAUUGGACCUAAGCGGUCAGCGUUCCUCUCCCAUUCACUCUCAAACAACAGCUACAGUUCCUAGUGGACCUUCAGAGACUGUGCAAACAGUGUCAAAUGCCCAUCCCAUUUCAAACGAACAAAUAAAUCCACCCGCCUCUAAUACACCUCACUCUGACACUCAGCACUUUUACUCUGGUGCGGAGAUGAAAGAUCAGGUUCCUCGUUUGGCCCUUGGGAGAGUACAUUCUCUUCCCAGUCUAAACUACUUACAGAAAGUAGAUGCCUGGAAAGCCAAUCAAAAUUCUAGCAGGUCGUUUUAUGAUAAUUUGGCACCACCGGGGUUUGAUGGUGUGUCACCCAAGAAAAAAGCACAGGAUGUUGUUUCUGAAGCACUUAACCACAUGCUUUCUCGAGACACGCGUCUGACAUUUGGUGCUAAUCCCAGCUCCCAGAUGAUUCAGCCACUUUCCUCUUCUCAUUCUGGUAGUGGCUCACCCCGUCGGGUGGAUGUUGUUGGGGCGGGUGCGUGCAGAGGACAAGCAUCUGAGUCACCUGUCAAUCGCUCACACUCUCACUCCUCCCUGAGCUCUGUGGUGACCUCUAUUCAGAAAGACGCUGGUCCACACAAUCAGCAUAUUCCAGUAACACAAUUUAAUAACAUCAUUCCAGCUACCAGAUCAUUUGACUAUCAGUCGUCCUUCGUUUCAGAUGGAAAGGGUGAAGGAAAGAAUAGUUCAGCUCCUCACGCGGAUAAAAGCUCAGUCAAGAUGUCUCCUCUCCUCAGUCUGGGGCGCUUCAGUGACAUGUCAUCAAAUCUCAACAUGAGCAGCACUCUCUCAAGCUCUCAAGGCAGCUGCCAUGGUGAGCAGAGUAUGCGGGCAUCAGUGGGAGCCGCCUCUUCAGUAGUGAGUCUUGAAGUAGAUAAUUAUGCACCCUACUGGACCUCCAGACCUGCGUCCCCUCCUCACACUAGGGAACUCAACAUUGAAGACAGGAUCCCG